UACGUAGGGACCGAGCGUUGUCCGGAAUCAUUGGGCGUAAAGAGCGUGUAGGCGGUCCGGUAAGUCCGCUGUGAAAGUCGGGGGCUCAACCCUCGAAUGCCGGUGGAUACUGUCGGGCUUGAGUACGGAAGAGGCGAGUGGAAUUCCUGGUGUAGCGGUGAAAUGCGCAGAUAUCAGGAGGAACACCAAUUGCGAAGGCAGCUCGCUGGGACGUUACUGACGCUGAGACGCGAAAGCGUGGGGAGCGAACAGG
rnacentral:rRNA from 1 species